rnacentral:rRNA from 1 species
AGGAUGAACGCUGGCGGCGUGCCUAACACAUGCAAGUCGAACGUCCUGUCUCGCAAGAGGCAGGGAGUGGCGGACGGGUGAGUACCACGUGGGUCAUCUACCGUGAGGUGAGGAAUACCGGCGAGAAAUCGCCGACAAGACCGCAUAGCCUCGGUGCAAGCCGAGGAAAGCUCUUUCGAGAGAGGGAGCGCCACACGAGGAGCCUGCGCCCGAUUAGCUAGCUGGUGGAGUAACGGUUCACCAGGGCGACGAUCGGUAGCUGGUCUGAGAGGACGAUCAGCCACACUGGGAUUGAGAACGGCCCAGACUCCUACGGGGGGCAGCAGUGAGGAAUUUUCGUCAAUGGGGCAACCCUGAACGAGCAACGCCGCGUGCAGGAAGAAGGUUUUCGGAUCGUAAACUGCUUUUCUCGGGGAAGAGAACGGACGGUACCCGAGGAAUCGAGCCCCGGCUAACUACGUGCCAGCAGCCGCGGUAA